rnacentral:rRNA from 1 species
AUGAACGCUGGCGGCGUGCCUAAUACAUGCAAGUCGAGCGAACAGACGAGGAGCUUGCUCCUCUGACGUUAGCGGCGGACUGGUGAGUAACACGUGGAUAACCUACCUAUAAGACUGGGAUAACUUCGGGAAACCGGAGCUAAUACCGGAUAAUAUAUUGAACCGCAUGGUUCCAUAGUUAAAUACGGUUUUGCUGUCACUUAUAUAUGGAUCCGCGCCGCAUUAGCUAGUUGGUAAGGUAACGGCUUACCAAGGCAACGAUGCGUAGCCGACCUGAGAGGGUGAUCGGCCACACUGGAACUGAGACACGGACCAGACUCCUACGGGAGGCAGCAGUAGGGAAUCUUCCGCAAUGGGCGAAAGCCUGACGGAGCAACGCCGCGUGAGUGAUGAAGGUCUUCGGAUCGUAAAACUCUGUUAUUAGGGAAGAACAAAUGUGUAAGUAACUAUGCACGUCUUGACGGUACCUAAUCAGAAAGCCACGGCUAACUACGUG